AUUCGUUUAAUGUAUCGGAAUCCCCAUCGGUUAAGAAAGUUUACAAACGAUAACUAUACACAAGUUCGAGUUUGUUUAUACGAAGCCACGUUAUCCCCACCACGGGCAGAUUGCCAGUUAUUCCGAAAAUAGCGAAGCGGACAGACGUUUAAUCGAUCAUAAGCAGAAGGAACUCGUAACGUGACGAAAUGAAAAGUGUUUGUCGAAUAUUUCAAUUAUCUCAAUUGUUAAACUCGAUAUUGCUAAUCUAAUUUUAGACCCAAAUCAAACCAAAUUAUACAAAUCGAUAUUGAUUUAAUAAGAGAGA